AUUGAACGCUGGCGGCAUGCCUUACACAUGCAAGUCGAACGGCAGCGCGGACUUCGGUCUGGCGGCGAGUGGCGAACGGGUGAGUAAUACAUCGGAACGUACCCUGUUGUGGGGGAUAACUAGUCGAAAGAUUAGCUAAUACCGCAUACGACCUGAGGGUGAAAGUGGGGGAACGCAAGUGCCCACGCAGCCGGCACGGCCGAUGUCUGAUUAGCUAGUUGGUGGGGUAAAGGCCCACCAAGGCGACGAUCAGUAGCUGGUCUGAGAGGACGAUCAGCCACACUGGGACUGAGACACGGCCCAGACUCCUACGGGAGGCAGCAGUGGGGAAUUUUGGACAAUGGGGGCAACCCUGAUCCAGCAAUGCCGCGUGUGUGAAGAAGGCCUUCGGGUUGUAAAGCACUUUUGUCCGGAAAGAAAUCGCGCUGGUUAAUACCUGGCGUGGAUGACGGUACCGGAAGAAUAAGCACCGGCUAACUACGUGCCAGCCGCCGCGGUAAAAC
rnacentral:rRNA from 1 species